rnacentral:lncRNA from 1 species
UUUUUCCUCAAAAACCUAGCAAAAUAAUCAUCAAAUUAAAUGGGUUUAAGGCUGAAUUUGCAAUGCAUGAGCAAGGAACUUUGAUCUCCUAAGUAUUCUUGACAUCAAGGUCGAAGAAAGGAGGGGAAUCAAACCAAGCAAAGGCAAUAGGAGCGCACGACUCCGGUAAGUUCAUAUGAACUUCGCUCAUGUAGAAUGUAGAUUUUGUUAA